rnacentral:tRNA from 1 species
GGGUCCGUAGCUCAGCUGGAUAGAGCGUUGGCCUCCGGAGCCAAAGGUCGUGAGUUCGAAUCUCGCCGGAUCCGCCA